rnacentral:lncRNA from 1 species
CACACCGGUGACAAGAUCUGCCUCGCACACUCGUGUCUGCCUUGUGGGAGCUAGCCAAGCUAUUCUGCAACAGGCAACCCAUAUCAGAUUUGGGUUGACCUGACUCUUGGCUUUGCUCUGCUCUGGGGUUUGUACUAGGAGCUAGCCAAAGGCAGAGGGGAAAGGUGGGAUAUUUUUGCAUAGUUAUACAACUUAAAAGAAGACCUAAUAAAGUAAGAAAUCGUGUACAUAAAUGGUAUAAACUAGUGCAUUUUCCCCCUUUUUUUCCUUGCUCUGUUCAGGAGCUAUUUGGCUUUGUGUGUCCUGAGCUCGUGCAUGUGUCCAACACCGCCUGGCUGAAGUCUCCCUGGGCUCUGUGUUUGUCUUGUAGCACGACAGGGUGGUGGCUCCCUCCGAGUCCCUCUGGCUCUGCUUACAGAGCCACGUGAGACAACGAUAAUUUUUCCCUCAUGCCUUCAUGAUGCGAAGGAAAUGCUGCUGGCCACUUCUCCUUGCAACCCAUUUAACUGACUUUUAAUGACGAACAGACCUUCCACUGGCAGUAAUUAAUGCUCACUUAGCCUUUAGCACUCGGGGACUCAACAGCCUAGGAAGAGUUCAUGUCCGAGAGCACCAACCCAGUGCACCUGGGCAGGAUGGUGGGAGUAACCACAGAGGCCACAAAGCUGCAUUUUCUUCAUGUUGCUGAAGCAAGAAAUCCAAAGGAAGCAACUACUAUCCAAGUACUGCAGCUAAUGGCCCAUGUUAACAAGCGGUCCUGGCAGAAGAAAUUUAGAUUGCCCUUGCUUUCCCAGGAAGACUUGAGUGGUGAAUGA